UUGUGGGGACCUCGGUCCUUCCAAGAUGCAACCCUUGCCUUUUUCAAGCGUCUCUCUGUUUCCUCGGCAGCUGCGCCUGCCAGCGAGGACCCUUCAAAAACCUUUUGCAAUCCCUGUACAAACUUCUGAAAACACCAAAAAACGUU
rnacentral:misc_RNA from 1 species